CCUACCUGGUUGAUCCUGCCAGUGUCUAUAUGCUUGUUUCAAAGACUAAGCCAUGCAUGUCCAAGUACAGCUCGGGGGGCAACUCCCGGGUGAAACCGCAGACGGCUCAUUAAAUCAGUUGUGGUCUAAAUGGGCGAAAGAUAUCUAAUGGAUAACUGUGGAAAAUCCAGAGCUAAUACAUGCGAAUCCCAGGUCCUGAGCCAAAGGCGCUUCUUCGGGAGUGUUUAGUAACUCGGGAUGCUUUUAUUAGACCGAGGCGCGCGCACACCAGAAACGACCAGCGUCUUUACGGAUGUUGGUACCGGGCUGUAUUGUUUGUGUCGCACUGUAAGCGCUAUAUGGUGACUCUGGAUAACACUUGAUGAGCGUGUCAUUCUUUGACACGCCGCCUACUUACGAGUGACUGACCUAUCAGCUAAAACGUAUGUUAUACGCAAACGUUGGCAGUAACGGGUAACGGGGAAUCAGAGUUUGAUUCCGGAGAGGCAGCCUGAGAAACGGCUACCACGUCUAAGGACGGCAGCAGGCACGCAAAUUACCCAAUCCCAGCACCUGGGGGAGGUAGUAACGAUACUUACUGAUGCGGGUCAAUCUUCGGAUUACUCGCAAUCGGAAUGGCUAUUUUCUAAACACCCUAUCGAGAACCUACUGGAGGGCAAGCCUGGUGCCAGCAGCCGCGGUAAUUCCAGCUCCAGUGGCGUAUGCCAAUGUUGCUGCGGUUAAAAGGCUCGCAGUUGAAUGUCAGUUAUAAUACGCGUAGGAUUGCCGGGACGUUGUUUGGAGCCGGUGUCUUACGACUCGGUUUUCAUUCCGUUCCUUGAGCGCAUUCCUCGCAAUCUAACAAUGAGUGUGGUUGUCGCCUGUAGCCUUCGGGUUGCAAACGGACACCGCAUUCGACACCUUGAGUAAAUCAGAGUGCUUAAAGCAGUCGUUAUAAAACGGUCUGCCUUUACGGUUUUGUGCCUUUGCGGGUAUAAGACUAAUCGGUAUGUCUGUGACGGGACUCGCGUCCUGUUGAAGACAUUGUCUUUGCUUUGCAUGGUACGUCGGAAGACGCCCUGUGAGUUGGUCGCGCUUACGAUUUGUGCACUCACGCCGAGGGGCUCACGCCUCUCGUGUGCGCGUGCGCCAACAAGCAGGGAAUGAUACGAAAGGGAUGGCUCGAAGGCAUUGGUAUUGCGGGGCGAGAGGUGAAAUUCUAUGACCCCCGCAAGACUACCCGAAGCGAAAGCGUCUGCCUAGGACGUCUUCAUUAAUCAUGAACGAAAGUUGAAGGAUCGAAGGCGAUCAGAUACCGCCCUAGUUUUAACCGUAAACUAUACCAACCAUCAAUCCGUCGGAGCGUUCCCUUACUCCCGGCAGUGUGGGGCGUGGCUUUACUGUCGCGUUCUCAUGCUGUUGUGGACAAGUGUAAGCUCGAUGGGCAGUUCCUUUCGAACGGAAAACCAGAGUUUUUCGGUUCCGGGGGGAGUCUGGUUGCAAAGCUGAAACUUAAAGGAAUUGACGGAAAGGCACCACCAGGCGUGGAGCUUGCGGCUUCAAUUUUGACUCAACACGGGAAAUCUCACCAGACCCGAACAUCUUUGAUGACUGACAGACUGAAAGCUCUUUCUCGAUAAAGUGGAUGGUGGUGCAUGGCCGUUCUUAGUUGGUGGAGUGAUCUGUCUGGUUAAUUCCGAUAACGAACGAGACUCUCCCCUGCUAACGAACCUUUGUGUUCUUGUAGACAGUGUGAUUCGAAUCAAGAGUUUGACUGGUAACGGUCUUAUCUCGGACGUUGUCCACUGAUCCUUGUUGCGAAUGUGUUGCUCGCGCCGCAUGGCCGUGCGUGCCCUCGGGUGUCGCGUGGUGCGUGGGUGUGUGGCGGCUCAUCUCGUGGCUCGGAGUACGUUUCUUCUUAGAGGGAUUGACGACUCUAUAAGUCGUAAGAGACAGAGAGCAAUAACAGGUCUGUGAUGCCCUUAGAUGUUCUGGGCUGCACGUGUGUUACAAUGCCGGGAUCAACGGGUUAUUGCACUUUAUCGUGUCCUACUCUGAAAAGAGUGGGUAAACCUCUGAAAUCCCUUACACGUGUGUUAAGGUCUUUGAUUUUACCACACGUAUCACGGCUUGCUUGGGACUGGGGAUUGCAACUAUUCCCCACGAACGAGGAAUGCCUUGUAGUGGCGAGUCACAGAGCUCGCUGCGACUCUGUCCCUGCCCUUUGUACACACCGCCCGUCGCUACUACCGAUUGAGUGUACCAGUGAGAUUCUUGGACUGGCGAACCGAACGGCUAACCCCGCUCGGCGUACGACAGAAAGAGACUCGAACUGGUGCACUUAGAGGAAGUAAAAGUCGUAACAAGGUUUCCGUAGGUGAACUGCGGA
rnacentral:rRNA from 1 species